AGGGAAGUAGCUUAAUGGUAGAGCAAAAAAUUAUCCAAUUUUCUUGGGAUGUUAGUGAUUCAUGCGGAACAAGGUUCGAGGUUCGGAUCCUCGCAUCUCCG
rnacentral:tRNA from 1 species